AUCGCUUCUCGGCCUUUUGUCUAAGAUUACAUGUAUUAUCUGUUUUUAUCAGUUUAAUAUCAGAUACGUCCACGAUGAGAGGACUUCAUAUUAAAUGGGGUUUUGGAUCUGUGAUGGAAAGGGCUGCGAGGCGUGGCACGGCACACCCUUG
rfam:Calypte anna contig28899, whole genome shotgun sequence.